GACGAACGCUGGCGGCGUGCUUAACACAUGCAAGUCGAACGCUGAAGCUCAGCUUUUGUUGGGUGGAUGAGUGGCGAACGGGUGAGUAACACGUGAGUAACCUGCCUCCUUCUUUGGGAUAACGCCCGGAAACGGGUGCUAAUACUGGAUAUUCACUGGUCUUCGCAUGGGGGUUGGUGGAAAGGGGUGUUCUGGUGGGGGAUGGGCUCGCGGCCUAUCAGCUUGUUGGUGGGGUGAUGGCCUACCAAUGCUUUGACGGGUAGCCGGCCUGAGAGGGUGACCGGUCACAUUGGGACUGAGAUACGGCCCAGACUCCUACGGGAGGCAGCAGUGGGGAAUAUUGCACAAUGGGCGCAAGCCUGAUGCAGCGACGCCGCGUGAGGGAUGGAGGCCUUCGGGUUGUGAACCUCUUUCGCUCAUGGUCAAGCCGCAACAAUGGUUGUGGUGAGGGUAGUGGGUAAAGAAGCGCCGGCUAACUACGUG
rnacentral:rRNA from 1 species